UCCAUAUUGGCUACUGGAGGCUGCAUUGCCAGGCCUGUGCUUUAAUAAAUAAUUUUUUUCUUUCCAAAUUAUUUUCUCUGGCUCCUUCAUAACUCAGAAAGCGGACCACCACAAGUCCCAAUCCUUUACUCGGGACUUUGAAUUUUCAGCUAUACUGAAACUGUUAGGAAUUCUGUAACUCUUGCAAAUGGACUAAAUGCCUUUUGGUUUGGACAUGUACUUUAAGAGAAGAAGCCAAACAGUCUGCCAGAAACCAGGAGAUUAUGCCCAAGCUGAAGGCAAAGACUGGAGCUCCUCCAAAGAACCAGCAAUCAGUCCCUCCUCAGAUGCCUUUUAUUGUAUGCAGGGUACUCCCCUGGGUUGGGUGUAGCACUUACACCAUCUGUUUGCCCUCUUCUUGCACAGGCUGAGAGUGUUAUAAAUGAUGGACCCUGGCCUCCCUGCUGAAUUACUUAGUUAAACUUCUGACCUUC